CGGCAAACAGAGGGAAGCGGACCGGUGACGGCGAGCGAAUCCCAAAAAGUGCGUCCCAGUUCGGAUUGUAGUCUGCAACUCGACUACAUGAAGCCGGAAUCGCUAGUAAUCGCGGAUCAGAAUGCCGCGGUGAAUACGUUCCCGGGUCUUGUACACACCGCCCGUCACACCAUGGGAGCCGGAAAUGCCCGAAGUCAGUGACCCAACCAAUAAGGAGGGAGCUGCCGAAGGCAGGUCUGGUGACUGGGGUGAAGUCGUAACAAGGUACC
rnacentral:rRNA from 1 species